AUUGAACGCUGGCGGCAGGCCUAACACAUGCAAGUCGAGCGAGCGGCGGGCGGGUGAGUAAUGUCUGGGAAACCGCCUGAUGGAGGGGGAUAACUACUGGAAACGGUAGCUAAUACCGCAUACCAUCAGAUGUGCCCAGAUGGGAUUUGCUAGUAGGUGGGGUAACGGCUCACCUAGGCGACGAUCCCUAGCUGUUCUGAGAGGAGGACCCGCCACACGGGAACUGAGACACGGUCCAGACUCCUACGCGAGGCAGCAGUGGGGAAUAUUGCACAAUGGGCGAAAGCCUGAUGCAGCCAUGCCGCGUGUAUGAAGAAGGCCUUCGGGUUGUAAAGCACUUUCGGCGGAGAAGCGGUACCCGCAGAAGAAGCACCGGCUAACUCCGUGCCAGCAGCCGCGGUAAUAC
rnacentral:rRNA from 1 species